rnacentral:misc_RNA from 1 species
AAUCACUGCUGAUGUGAUUUUCUUGAUUGGCAUUUACAUUAUUUUUCCUGCUUUUGUCAUUAAUAAUUUGCGUUUAUUUUUAUUUUUUACUUAUGUUCUAUUAUGUAUAUUUUUAUUUAUUUAUUAUUUGAGAGACUUGAUGGCUUUGCCACUAGGGAUAGUUGGAUAUUUGUAGUGUGAGAAGGGGGAAGUGUUAUUUUCGGGAUUUUUUUUUUUU